AAAAUAAAUAAAUAUUAAAAUUCUCUCUCUCUCUCUCUCUCUAAAAAAAAAAAUAGAUAGCUAGAUCCUCAAAUACGCCUCAGGUAUUUGCCUUGCUGUGAUUUUGGACAAGUUGCUUUACCUCACUGUGUCACAGGGUUAGUAUGUGUGUAUGUAUGGUUUUCCUUUAAAAUGAUCAUUAUCCCAAUCUCAACACCAAAUGUUUUCAGGGUCUAACCAUCCUGAGUAGUAUUUCUGAGCCCAUUUUUUUUAGGCUGAAACCUAAGUUCAGUGUAUUUUUCUGGCCUGGAAGCCACAGAUUGACUCAAAAAGAUGUCCUUCAGGAGAGCUUGAAUUAAGGAAGCUUCAGAGAGAUUUAUAGAGGUUCUCUCUCCCUAUUCUAGAAGGUUUUCUACAGGAAUUUAGGGAAUGUAAACAUUUUAAAUGCCAGUUUGUGUUGAUUUUAGGCCUGUUCCUUUAGUAAGUUCCACCUCUUUCAGGGGUGAGACAGUGGGGUUAGGGAAAGAGUUGGGAGGUGUUAAUCAUACGCAGAUCUUAACCUUACUCCUUCUCAGAAGGAUUCAGAAUCUUGUUCUCUAUGUUAGGAGGGGAGACUUGUAGGAAGGGAAGAGAAGCGGAACUAGUUCUAAUAACACUUGUCAUCUCUGUGUAACUUUGGGAUUUAUACAAGUUAUCAGUUUGGGCUUUUUCUAGAAUGCUCACUUGAAAAUUCUGGAAAAGGAAUUAAUUUUUGAGUUGAAGGAAUGGCAUUCUUUGUAUCUACCCUGAACCAGCUGAGGGAGAGCUUUCAGAAAUCUAUAGACUGGGCAGGAAGAGUUGCUGGCUUCUUCCUCUUUGAUCAGUGGAAUCUUAGUUUUGAAGCUCAUCUAGAGAAGACUUGAAAGUAGAGAUCUAACCCUGGAACUGGCAUCUAGAGGUAGGGCAUAUUUCUUUUCAUUCACUACUAUCAUAGUACUAAAGAAAGCUUCAACUUAAGAGAGAAGACACCUGCAAGGAAUGGGCCCUGAUCUUUACAUGUGGCUUAUGGUAUCAUAUACCUGUUUUAAAUUUCUACAAACAUUAGGAAUAAUUCUUUUUAAAGAUAGAGAGGAGAGAGAGAGAGAGAGAAUUUUAAUAUUUAUUUUUUUUUUUUAGUUUUCGGCAGACACAACAUCUUUGUUUGUAUGUGGUGCUGAGGAUCGAACCCGGGCCGCAUGCAUGCCAGGCGAGCGCGCUACUGCUUGAGCCACAUCCCCAGCCCAGGAAUAAUUCUUAUCUGAUUCCCUCAACUGACAAAAAAUGAUUAGCAAUUAUGUUUAAAUGUGGGCAAACUCCUAAUUUUACCUGAGUUAACUCAUUAAAAAUUCCCCUUGACUUUGUGAAUGGAGACUUCCUGCUUUAUAAACCAUCUUUCUCUUAUUCAUGGCUGUUCUAGUAGGGCAUAUAAUACUCUUUAGUUAUCUUUCUGCUAAUAAUACUCUGAGUAAUAUAUCAAAAGUAUUCCCACCUUACCCCAUACGGCUUCAUCUCUAAGAUAAUAAAUUAAAAAUUAGUUACAACUUUGGUAACUCAGCAUACCAGAAUAUAUAUGUCUAACGGAUUGCCAGGUUCACAGAAUGAGUAAGAAUGGGGAGGAGGGGUUAGGGAGCUGGACAUAUAGCACAUAGGCCUCCAAUAGGCAUAGGAAGUGUGUGUGUGUCUAUUUUUUAAAGUAGGGGAGGAUUCAGAGAACAAAUAGCCUAUAACACAAUUGAGGUGGUUUGUUUUUGUUUUGUUUUUUAAAUAUAUUUCUAAAUCUUGGUUGUCCUCACUUUAACAAAGCUUACCUACCAGGUCCAGAAUGAGACUUUAAGCAGACUCUUCACUUAUUAAUAAUUUCUGUGAGAAAAUAGACACGCAGAAAUAGUUCGGGAUUGUGAGCACAUUUCUUCUUUAUUUAGAGUUUAAUUUUGCAAUAAUGUUUAUGUAAUUUUUUAAGUAAGAUUGUAUAUACAACAACAGUAUCCAUCAAUAAGCUAAGCAUUAAACUUACAAUGAAAUUCUUUUAAAUAAUCACCAAUAUUCCUAGUUUCCCCUCAGCCCAUAUACAGUUUUGGAGAAAAAAAAUCAUAAACCUGUAUGUUUAUGUUGUAGCCCUUAACAUGGUUGUAAUUUUACAAUAUGUAUUCCUUUGAUUAAUAUAUGGCCCCCAACUGCAUUAUAAAUUCUCCAAAGCACAGGAAGUCAUCUUUGCUUAGUAGUUUUUCAUCAUUGUAUUCACAGUGCACAGUUGCCUGGCACACUGAGGGUGCUCAAUAAAAAUUCAUUCAAAGAAUCAUUGUAAUAGUAGCUUGUUUUUAUUAACUGAUUGUUAAUAUUUAGUAUUUUACAUGUGGGUUAAACUAUUAAUUGCUGGGUUCCUAGCCCUUCAGAAGCCAACUGUUUUGCUUUUGCCCUGAGUCUUUGCAUACAAAACACCAUCAAUAUCAAUGAGUUCAUGUCAAUGAUAGCAGUGGUCCCUUUAUUUUUACAGCAUUCUAGAAUAGUAGUGCUACCAGGCUAGGAAGGGGGACACACUACUCCAGCAUCUCUUGGAAGAUAAAAUAAGGAUGGGGAGGAGGGUAAACUGACCUGAAAGUAAACAAACAAAAAAGAGUUUGAGGGUUCUAAUUUUCAUAUGGCCCCCUUUAUCCUUCCAACUAGAUAAGUAUGUUGAAGUUAGUUAAACCCUAAAUCCCUCUGAUUUAGCCAAAGGAAUUAUUUAGUAUUUUGUGGUCCAACAGCUUCUUGACAGCUCAUCAAAAUUAAAACUGUCAAUUUCAUUUCUGGAUGGAAACAACUAAAAAAGAAUAUCUUAGGAGCAAUGCUUUUACUUUUUAUUUCAUAUUUUCUGCUGUCUGUCAAUCUUCUGAUCAUAAAAAUACAUUUUAUAUAAAAUAUUUUAUGCACAUAAAAUGUACACAUGCGUAUACACAUGUACAUAAAAGAUGUCAUGUUUAUGUCAGUAAGGGUUAUCUGGUGCUAUAGAAUUUUAGGCCAGGUUUUUGGAUUCCCACCCUGAUUUUUUAAUUUUUAUUUCUAUGUAUUUAAAUUAAAAACUUUUAAAGUUGUCUCUCUUUGUCUUCACUCCUCUCAUCUGCUUUCCAUUGUAACAAAUAGAUCCUACUGUUUUUCCUUCAAGACUUCCUAAAAUUCUACUCCCGUCAAUGCUGGGCAGCAUAUCUUCAAGAAACUCCUACCAUUCUUCUCCCUCUCUUCCUCCUCCCCUUCCCUUCCCUCUACCUUUGUUGAGCUGAUUGUGUAUAUCUGCUAAUGGACAAGCACUGGGAUCUUAAGUUACAUAAAUCAAGACACUUGUCUUCACAAAGCUUGUUUUUUUUUUUUUUUUUAAAUAUUUAUUUUUUAGUUUUCGGCGGACACAACAUCUUUGUUUGUAUGUGGUGCUGAGGAUCGAACUCGGGCCGCACGCAUGCCAGGCGAGCGCGCUACUGCUUGAGCCACAUCCCCAGCCCCACAAAGCUUGUUUUAAUGUCAGGUACAUAUAUCAUAGUCUCAAUGCAAAAGAAUGGAAGAUAAUGCACAGAUAAUGAUUUAAAGCUUUACAGGCUUUUGUUACUUCCAUUCUUGGGAGAUCAGGUAAGAAAGGAGUUUUGUAGAAAAUAAGGGAAAUGAGUAUUUUUAAGGAAAGUGAAUGAGCAGGUUGACAAUACAGUUAUAUAAUGGGAGAACAAAAGGUAGAGGAACAAAGAAAUGACCAUAUUGAGGGAUUUUCUUUCAUCUUCUCUCUGAUACUCUGCCCUGCUGAGUUUCCUUCCUAUAGCCUACCUGUAUAAGAAUGAUUAUGAUCACGUUACUGACUCUAACCCACCUAUCUUCCUUUCUUUUCAGGAACAAUUACAGAACUCUUCACAUUUCCAAAAGAAAGGACUGCAGCAGAUAUUUCUGCUCCAGAGAAUCAGGAAUAGAAACCACAAAGACCAUGGAAAUGUUGAGCGCCCUUGUGGCCAGUAAGCAAUCACCUCCAGGGUCUGACUUCCAGAAGGUGGGUAUGGUAUGGCUGCUUGGGGCAGGAAUGGGUUAUGGAGAAAGCUCUGUCAUUUUAUCUAUGGGGAAAUAGUGAGUUGGGUGAACAAAUAUGUAUAUAUCUGUGUCUUUGUAUCAGUAGAGGAGGAACAGGAAAAGAAUGGAUAUAGAGGGUAUGUAUUUUAGACUUGCUAUUAUGCACCCAUUUAGCAUUGAAUAAACGAUUAAACUUCCAUUUAGCAUUGAAUAAACUAUUUUUUUUUGAGAGAGAAUUUUAAUAUUUAUUUUUUGGUUUUCGGCAGACACAAAGUCUUCGUUUGUAUGUGGUGCUGAGGAUCGAACCCGGGCCGCACGCAUGCCAGGCGAGCGCGCUACCGCUUGAGCCACAUCCCCAGCCCUGAAUAAACUAUUAAACUUCCAUUUCAUUUAGUGCUAUAAUAUUUAUGUUAAAACUAUGGAUUUAAUGCCUUCCCAUUCUUUUUAGGCCCUAUGCCUCAAUGUCUCUGGAAAGUAGAACAUCUCUUAUUUUGGUUCUACCCUCCCUUAAUGGACAAUUCAAGAAUUAAGGUAAAAUUGGAUAUGACCUUAGAGGAAUAGGGUAUAAAUAAGCAAAGGAGAUUCAAGGAAGGGGAACAAUUACAGAGGAGAUGUUUGAAAAAAGUCCUGGAAUAUCAGACAGUUGUCUACCAGAUUCCAUACAGUCUUUUUUUUAGAUGUGUAGACCUUUAUUUUAUUCGUUUAUUUAAAUGUGGUGCUGAGAAUUGAACCCAGUGCCUCACACAUGCUAGGCAAGUGCUCUACCACUGAGCCACAGCCUCAGCCCCUCCAUACAGUCUUAUUACUUUUCCUACACACAUUGAAAUAUCUGGGCCAGUCACAUGGUGCACAUGUGUAAUCCCAGCAAUUUGGGAGGCUAAGGCAGGAGGAUUGCAAAUUCGAGGCCAGCCUUGGCAGGUGAGACCCUGUCUCAAAAAUAAGUAAAUAAACAAAUGAAUAAAUAAAGUGCUAGAGAUAUAGCUCAGUGGUAGACCACCCCUGUUUUCAUCCCCAGUACUGAAAAAACAAACAUCUGGUACACAGGAACAGGCAAGCAUCAUUCCAAAAUACCAGGGAAACUUCUUACUCUCUAUCUAAAAUGAUGGACAUUUUUUUACUCCCUUUUUGUGUUUGGAACUGUGGGCUCAAAGACACAGUGGAAAAGAGAACCAGAAUUCAGUAUGACUUAAUUGAAUUUUAACUCCUUUAAACUCAGAUUCAUUUCAUUUAAAUCUAAGCUGCCCCAAUUACAGAUUUACCCAGAAAAUUCUUAGUUUUGUUCCUGAUUUGCAAAUCCAAUCACUUUUAGGGUCCUAGAGAUCUAGUUUACUGCCUAAAUCUAUGUUCUUGGUAACUUGACACUACAGCUAUUUAAAACAACCAAACAUACAUACAAUGUAUAACCAAAAUCAUCAGUAGAAUAAAAAGGAAAGGGUAAAAAGUAUCUCAGGAGCUCUUGGUACUGAGAUUUUUAUUAGUUAAGGACUACUCAUUCCUAAGGCAUGACCCUGUAGAUGAAGCAAUGGAAAGCAGCCUGGUGCCAGGGCUGCCAACGCUUUGUCACCACCACUUUCUCUCCCUUGUUCCAGCCCAAGAUCUGUUUCUCACCGUCUAUCAUAUACCUCUUCCCAGGAACAAUCAAGAGUGUUGGGCACAAGCUUUCAUUCCACGCUCUACUCCAGCCCCUAUUUUUCUACUUAUAUCUCAAUUCUCUAGUAGUAUCUAAAGUCUAUAUCUAAAGUAUACUGAUCUGGGGAGUGGGUGGGGGGAAGAAAACAUUUUUUUAGUAGUGUUUUCCUCUUUGGACUUCCUUGAUAUGCAGGAGUUCACGUGUAUUAUGAAUGAUGAAGUAUUUUAAGAUUUUUAUUGAAAUAUGAUUCAUAUAACAUUAAAUUUUACAUAACAUAAAAUCCACCAUCUUAAAGUGUGUGAUUCUUUGAUUUGUACAAUGGUUGUACAACCAUCAUCACUAAUUCAGGAACAUUUCCAUCACCC
rnacentral:lncRNA from 1 species